UACGUAGGGCGCAAGCGUUAUCCGGAAUUAUUGGGCGUAAAGAGCUCGUAGGCGGUUUGUCGCGUCUGCCGUGAAAGUCCGGGGCUCAACUCCGGAUCUGCGGUGGGUACGGGCAGACUAGAGUGAUGUAGGGGAGACUGGAAUUCCUGGUGUAGCGGUGAAAUGCGCAGAUAUCAGGAGGAACACCGGUGGCGAAGGCGGUUCUCUGGGCAUGAUCUGACGCUGAGGUGCGAAAGCGUGGGGAGCAAACAGG
rnacentral:rRNA from 1 species